rnacentral:lncRNA from 1 species
AGGGAAUGAAAAAGAUUGAGGGAAGAAAGGAAGGAAGGAGGGAGGUGGGAGGUCAAGAGAGAAAGUAGGGUAGACAGUAUGAUGAAGAAACUAAAGGACUGAUACAUUUUUUGACCUCUAGGUGGCAUUUCUGGAGACCCUGAAGACCAUGAACAGAGUCCAGAAUCCCAUGCACUGAUUCUAAGAAAUGUGGUAUAUAUGCAGGGAUCUGAACACAUGGAAAAGGACAAAAUCAGUAUGGGCAUCAGGAGAAGGAAUGUUGUUUCUCUGUGUGAGACGGUUCAGAUGGGGGCCCAAACCCAGGGCGUGGCAGGCAUGAAGGCAGGUGGUAUGGAAUGCUUCUCCUUUUGCUAUGUCCUCAUCCGCACAUAAGAUUCCUGGGCUUCCUGACUUCUCAACAAUUGCUGUGAAUGUACGCUGCUGCCCUCUGGUGGUAGGCGGGUUGGAAGACAUGCUGCAGCAUCAACCUGGACCCAGAUGGCUGGGUGCCUGAAGACCUGAGUCAAUGGAAAGAAGUAUCAAAGGUAUUGGCAGAUUUUCUUAUCUCCUAUCAUAGUCCUGGCUACAGCUUGAAAAAUUGAAUAGAGCUGCCUGUGCUUUGCCCUAUAUCCACCCCAGAGCUAUAUUCUGGUACAUUGAAACUGUCUACUCUCCCAGGUGCCCAACUGAGGUUGUUGGUCUUCUCCCUUGUGGCACCUGCUCAUCUUCCCUUAUUCCCUAAGCUCUCAGCCACAACCAACCCUCUGCUCUACCAGCACAGGGUUAUCCUGGGAGGAUUGGGGGACAAGUAUCUUUAAACUGAAAGCAUUCUUGAGGUCUGAAUUCCAAAUGUUUGCACACCCAUGGCAGGCUUGGCAACUAUACAGCAGGUACAGCUAUACAGCAGGUACUUUAUUGUAAAUGAUUUAGUCCUAAGCCAGGUAUCUCAGCCCAGAGAACAGAAAUGAUCCAUCUGACUCAGGCUCUCAGAUAGGAAAAAGGAAACUCCACUACCAUAUACAUGAACUUUGCUAUGAUUUUUAUUAUUCUGUCCACUGUAUGUAUGCAUAAACAAUAAAGGCGGCAUCUUACUACUAGGAGAAAGGAUA